GUCAACAAACAUGACAGGCCAGGGAAAGCACCAUUGACCCAUGCUAUGAUAGGUCAAUGGAAAGCACCGACACAAUCAAGCAAGAUAGGUAAGCAUUACAUCAAGAGGGAAAUCUGAACGAUUAACAUUGAUGCAGACUGAGCAACCAAAAGCAAAGACCGCAACAAGAGAGGUGUUGAAAGCAAGUCCAGAGAAAGUGAAUUUCACGAGAUCAGCGAUCAAAACUACGAAAUGUGCUGUCGAAGCCCUCCUCCCCCCCCCCCGUUGCCGCGCCAAUAUUCUUAGUUAAUAUUUCACGAAUUCGAGUCGACAAAGUGGACCGUUUCCGAACAAAAGUGUAUCUUCCGAAUCACACUGACAUUGACAAGAUAAGCGCAUUGCUUAUACCUACUAUUUUAGCGUUACGAAUAUUUUUGAUGAAGCUAUUCACGAAAAACUUUAUCCUCUUAUCGGAGCCUUCGGCGUGACCUUUUAAGUCACAUGUUGAUCGGACACCCUACAAUUCCCGCGCCCUGCCCCGCGCGGCCGCCGCUCUCACCAGAGCCGAGGGCCUCUCGCUCGUAGAUGGACCGGCCGUCGGCCGUCGUCUCUUUGGACUUCAUGUUCCCCAUGGCUGGAGAAGCUUGGGCCGCUCCCGGUCGCCUGUCGACGUCAGAAUGACGUCAUCUGGAGGAACCGGCACUAAUCGCGGCCGGCCGGAAUCGCCAGAGAUCUCAGGAGCCGGCUGUCAAUCCCGGCGCGUUUCUCACCUGUGAUGAGCGGAGCCGGUGUGCGGCGGAUAGUGGCGCGUCGGCGGCAAUC